GACCGCUCCGGUGGCCUGGUGGUUAUAGUGUCCACCUCGGAUGCGAGAGGUCAUGGGUUCGAUCCUCUGCCGAGUCA